CUGAGGCACGAAAGCGUGGGGAGCAAACAGGAUUAGAUACCCUGGUAGUCCACGCCGUAAACGAUGAGUACUAAAUGUUGGGUAAAACCAGUGUUGAAGUUAACACAUUAAGUACUCCGCCUGAGUAGUACGUACGCAAGUAUGAAACUUAAAGGAAUUGACGGGACUCCGCACAAGCGGUGGAUCAUGUUGUUUAAUUCGAAGGUACCCGAAAAACCUCACCAGGUCUUGACAUGCUUCUGCAAAGCUGUAGAAACACAGUGGAGGUUAUCAGUUGCACAGGUGGUGCAUGGUUGUCGUCAGCUCGUGUCGUGAGAUGUUGGGUUAAGUCCCGCAACGAGCGCAACCCUUAUUGUUAGUUGCCAGCACGUAAUGGUGGGGACUUUAGCAAGACUGCCAGUGAUAAAUUGGAGGAAGGUGGGGACGACGUCAAAUCAUCAUGCCCCUUAUGACCUGGGCUACAAACGUGAUACAAUGGCUGUUACAAA
rnacentral:rRNA from 1 species